rnacentral:rRNA from 1 species
GCGCACCAGUCGAGAAUUUUUCUCAAUGGGGGAAACCCUGAAGGAGCGACGCCGCGUGGAGGAUGAAGGUCUUCGGGUUGUAAACUCCUGUCAUUUGGGAACAAGCGUCGGUAGGUAACUACUACCGGCUUGAUAGUACCAGAAGAGGAAGAGACGGCUAACUCUGUGCCAGCAGCCGCGGUAAUACAGAGGUCUCAAGCGUUGUUCGGAUUCAUUGGGCGUAAAGGGUGCGUAGGUGGCGCCGUAAGUGGGGUGUGAAAUUUCGGAGCUUAACUCCGAAACUGCAUUCCAUACUGCGGUGCUUGAGGACUGGAGAGGAGACUGGAAUUCAUGGUGUAGCAGUGAAAUGCGUAGAGAUCAUGAGGAAGACCAGUGGCGAAGGCGGGUCUCUGGACAGUUCCUGACACUGAUGCACGAAGGCCAGGGGAGCGAACGGGAUUAGAUACCCCUGUAGU